CCGAACUCCAUCCUUCUGAGUUCUGACAGUUAUCCACGACUACAUUUUCUCCUACCGGACUUUUCGACCACGAGGGCAGUCACUGCAGUCCACAUAUUCUUCCUAGUUCUUCUAGAUGUUAUUAGGGCUCCGUUUGGUAUGGUGUAAAACGUUUUCAGUGUAAAAUGAUUUUCCAUGAAAAACAUUUUUCAGGGAAAAAUACAAUUUCAAAGUAGUUUUCCUUUGUUUGGUUCCUUAAAGGAAAUGGGAAGAUGGUGAAGAUUGAGGGGAAGAAGGGAGAGGGAGGUAAGGAGCAAAGGUGGAGAAGGGGUUUCAUUUCUGGAAAAAGUUUUUCCACCUUUGAGGGUGUUGUGGAAAAUUAUUUUUCAUCCCCACGUAAAAUGAUUGAAAGGAGGAAAAUUCAUGAAAACGUUUUACACCAUACCAAACGAUGAAACGAAGCCUUAGCAGCAAAAUGGGAACCGAGCUGAGGGCAAUUAAGGCUUGACGGCAUGACAGUAGAGCCGUAGAGGUGGUCACUGUCACUGAUCAGUGAGCCGGGUUAUGUUGGCGUGGACUGAAUCAAGACUGGUCUAGGGAAACCGGACUCAGAUGAAGUCGGGGGUUCGUGGUUUAUCAAUCAUUGACCCACCCGACAGCUUCACCGGUCCUACUACAUCGGGCCAAUUUGGUUCACCGGUCCUACUACAUCGGGCCAAUUUGGGUUAGCGGUACAUAGAAUGAAGCAUCACCUCCCUGUUAAAUUAGUUGUGGUAGUUAUUGUAGUUUAUUGAGAAGUGGGUGAAAAGGUGAGAAUGAGGGAACAUCAUGAUAUUCAUGUGAAAGCGUUGCUACCAAUUCCAUCUUUGAAA